rnacentral:rRNA from 2 species
GGUUGCGAUCAUACCAGCACUAAUGCACCGGAUCCCAUCAGAACUCCGCAGUUAAGCGUGCUUUGGCGAGAGUAGUACUAGGAUGGGUGACCCCCUGGGAAGUCCUCGUGUUGCAACCC